GAAUAUGACAGCCCUUUUACAAAAUAUUGCACGUGUGCCUGGCAUCGGGGUGGAAACAGCGAGGGAGGUACAACGCGGUUCCCCGACCGGGAGAAAACCCUGACGUUGGUCGGGGAAUGGAGAGGAGAAGGGAAAGACGGAGAGGGGAUAAGAAAGAUGGCCAGAUAGACAGGGAGGGACAUAGAGAUAGAUGGAGAGAGCACAGUGAGACAGAUAGGAGGGAGGGGGAG